GUCCACGCUGUAAACGAUGGGCACUAGGUGUUCGGGGUAUUGACCCCCUGAGUGCCGCAGCUAACGCAUUAAGUGCCCCGCCUGGGGACUACGGCCGCAAGGCUAAAACUCAAAGGAAUUGACGGGGGCCCGCACAAGCGGUGGAGCAUGUGGUUUAAUUCGACGCAACGCGAAGAACCUUACCUGGGCUAGACAACAGGGGACCACCCCAGAAAUGGGGUCUUCCCUUCGGGGACCCCUGGUUCAGGUGCUGCAUGGCUGUCGU
rnacentral:rRNA from 1 species